rnacentral:rRNA from 1 species
AUGGCUCAGGAUGAACGCUAGCGACAGGCCUAACACAUGCAAGUCGAGGGGCAGCACAAGGAGUAAUCUGAGGUGGCGACCGGCGCACGGGUGAGUAACACGUAUGCAACCUGCCUUUAAGCGGGGGGAUAACCCGGAGAAAUCCGGACUAAUACCGCAUAAUACCUAUUUACUGCAUGGUAAAUAGUUUAAACAUUUAUGGCUUACAGAUGGGCAUGCGUAUGAUUAGCUGGUUGGUGAGGUAACGGCUCACCAAGGCAACGAUCAUUAGGGGUUCUGAGAGGAAGGUCCCCCACACUGGUACUGAGACACGGACCAGACUCCUACGGGAGGCAGCAGUGAGGAAUAUUGGUCAAUGGGCGAGAGCCUGAACCAGCCAAGUCGCGUGAAAAGGAAGAAGGUUCUAUGGAUUGUAAACUUCUUUUGUAUGGGAAUAAAGUGAGCUACGUGUAGUUUAUUGUAUGUACUGUGCGAAUAAGGAUCGGCUAACUCCGUGCCAGCCGCCGC